rfam:Myotis brandtii contig245138, whole genome shotgun sequence.
GCCGCUGUGGCUCAGUGGAUAGAGCGUCGGCCUGUGGGCUGGAGGGUCCUGGGUUCGAUUCCGGUCAAGGGCA